CCUACGGGUGGCAGCAGUGAGGAAUAUUGGUCAAUGGCCGGAAGGCUGAACCAGCCAUGCCGCGUGAAGGUCAGUGCCCUAUGGGCGUUAAACUUCUUUUGUGCGGGAGCAAUAAUGGUCACGUGUGGCCAGCGGAGGGUACCUUAGGAUUAAGCUUCGCCUAACUCCUUGCCGGCAGCGGGGUUAAUACGGGGGAUGCAAGCGUUAGCCGGAGUGAUUGGGUUUAAAGGGUGCGUAGGCUGGGAGGUAAGUCAGCGGUGAAAUGCCCCCGCUCAACGGGGUGAAGUGCCAUUGAUACUGCCUGGCUGGAAGGCGGAUGCCGUGGGAGGAAUGUGUGGUGUAGCGGUGAAAUGCAUAGAUAUCACACAGAACACCGAGUGCGAAGGCAUCUCACGAAUCCGCGAUUGACGCUGAUGCACGAAAGCGUGGGUAUCAAACAGGAUUAGAUACCCCGGUAGUC
rnacentral:rRNA from 1 species